rnacentral:rRNA from 1 species
GGGAGAAAGCAGGGGAUCGCAAGACCUUGCGCUUUUGGAGCGGCCGAUGCCUGAUUAGCUAGUUGGUGAGGUAAAGGCUUACCAAGGCUUCGAUCAGUAGCUGGUCUGAGAGGACGACCAGCCACACUGGGACUGAGACACGGCCCAGACUCCUACGGGAGGCAGCAGUGGGGAAUUUUGGACAAUGGGGGAAACCCUGAUCCAGCCAUGCCGCGUGAGUGAAGAAGGCCUUCGGGUUGUAAAGCUCUUUCAGCCGGAACGAAAAGGUCACGGCUAAUACCCGUGACAAAUGACGGUACCGGAAGAAGAAGCACCGGCUAACUACGUGCCAGCAGCCGCGGUAAUACGUAGGGUGCAAGCGUUAAUCGGAAUUACUGGGCGUAAAGCGUGCGCAGGCGGUUUUGUAAGUCAGAUGUGAAAUCCCCGGGCUUAACCUGGGAACUGCGUUGAAACUACAAGGCUAG